rnacentral:rRNA from 1 species
UGAGUUUGAUCCUGGCUCAGGAUGAACGCUGGCGGCGUGCCUAAGACAUGCAAGUCGAGUGGGUUUAGACCCACGGCGAACGGGUGAGUAAUACCUAGGAACUUUUCUUAAGUGGAGCAUAACCAGCCGAAAGGUUGGAUAAUACUCCAUGUGACCGCAAGGUUAAAGUCGCAAGACGCUUAAGGUGAGGCCUGGGCACCAUCAGCUAGUUGGUAAGGUAACGGCUUACCAAGGCUAUGACGGUUAGGGGUCCCGAGAGGGAUAACCCCCACACUGGGACUGCGACACGGCCCAGACUCCUACGGGAGGCAGCAGUUUGGAAUUUUGGACAAUGGGGGAAACCCUGAUCCAGCCAUUCCGCGUGAGUGAAGAAGGCCUUCGGGUUGUAAAGCUCUUUCGGCAGGAACGAAACGGUGUGGGCCAAUACCCCAUAUCAAUGACGGUACCUGAAGAAGAAGCACCGGCUAACUACGUGCCAGCAGCCGCGGUAAUACGUAGGGUGCGAGCGUUAAUCGGAAUUACUGGGCGUAAAGCGUGCGCAGGCGGUUUUGUAAGACAGGUGUGAAAUCCCCGGGCUUAACCUGGGAACUGCGCUUGUGACUGCAAGACUGGAGUGUGGCAGAGGGGGGUGGAAUUCCACGUGUAGCAGUGAAAUGCGUAGAGAUGUGGAGGAACACCGAUGGCGAAGGCAGCCCCCUGGGUCAACACUGACGCUCAUGCACGAAAGCGUGGGGAGCAAACGGGAUUAGAGACCCCGGUAGUCUUAGCUGUAAACGAUGUGAACUAGGUGUCGGUGGGUUCAAAUCCAUCGGUACCGAAGCUAACGCGAUAAGUUCACCGCCUGGGGACUACGGCCGCAAGGUUAAAACUCAAAGGAAUUGACGGGGCCCCGCACAAGCAGCGGAGCGUGUGGUUUAAUUCGAUGCUACACGAAGAACCUUACCAGGGUUUGACAUACAAGUGGUAGGGAUCCGAAAGGUGACCGACCCAAGUGGUAGGGAUCCGAAAGGUGACCGACCCUUCGGGGAGCUUGUACAGGUGCUGCAUGGCUGUCGUCAGCUCGUGUCGUGAGAUGUUCGGUUAAGUCCGCUAACGAGCGCAACCCUCGUCGUGUGUUACAAGUGUCACGCGAGACCGCCGGUAUUAAGCCGGAGGAAGGUGGGGAUGACGUCAAGUCAGCAUGGCCUUUAUAUCCUGGGCUACACACACGCUACAAUGGCAGGUACAGUAGGUUGCGAAACCGCGAGGUGGAGCCAAUCCCCAAAGCCUGUCUCAGUUCAGAUUGUAGGCUGCAACUCGCCUGCAUGAAGUCGGAGUUGCUAGUAACCGCAGGUCAGCUAUACUGCGGUGAAUACGUUCCCGGGGUUUGUACACACCGCCCGUCACGUCAUGGGAGCUGGCAACACCUGAAGCCGGUAUCCUAACCCGCAAGGGAGGGAGCCGUCGAGGGUGGGGUCGGUGACUGGGACGAAGUCGUAACAAGGUAGCC